rnacentral:rRNA from 1 species
CACGGAGUUAGCCGGUGCUUAUUCGUAUAGUACCUUCAGCUAGAUACACGUAUCUAGGUUUAUCCCUAUACAAAAGAAGUUUACAACCCAUAGGGCCGUCGUCCUUCACGCGGGAUGGCUGGAUCAGGCUCUCACCCAUUGUCCAAUAUUCCUCACUGCUGCCUCCCGUAGGAGUCUGGUCCGUGUCUCAGUACCAGUGUGGGGGAUCACCCUCUCAGGCCCCCUAAAGAUCACUGACUUGGUAGGCCGUUACCCUACCAACUAUCUAAUCUUGCGCGUGCCCAUCUCUAUCCACCGGAGUUUUCAAUAUCAAAUGAUGCCAUUCAAUAUAUUAUGGGUAUUAAUCUUCCUUUCGAAAGGCUAUCCCCCUGAUAAAGGCAGGUUGCACACGUGUUCCGCACCCGUACGCCGCUCUCUCAUUUCCGAAGAAACAAUACCGCUCGGCUUGCAUGUGUUAGGCCUCCCGCUAGCGUUCAUCCUGAGCCAGGAUCAAAACUC